rnacentral:snRNA from 1 species
AGCUGCGUGGUGGGCACAGAGCGAACUAUUCUUUCGCCUUUUACUAAAGAAUACCGUGUGCGCGCCACAUAAAGCAGCAUACGCCAAUUUUUAUGAGGGUUAUUUGUCCAAAAUAGCC